UACGGGAGGCAGUGGUGGAGAAUAUUAGCAGCAAUGGGGCGCAAGCCUGAUGCAGCCAUGCCGCGUGUAUGAAGAAGGCCUUCGGGUUGUAAAGUACUUUCGGCGGGGAGGAAGGUGUUGAGGUUAAUUACCUCGGCACUUGGCGUUACCCUCACAAGAAGCCCCGGGUAAAUCCCUGCCAACAACCGCGGU
rnacentral:rRNA from 1 species